UACGUAGGAUGCAAGCGUUGUCCGGAAUUAUUGGGCGUAAAGAGCGCGCAGGCGGUCUAUCAAGUCAGAUGUGAAAUAUCCAGGCUUAACCUGGAGGGGUCAUUUGAAACUGGUAGACUAGAGUACAGCAGAGGAUAGUGGAAUUCCCGGUGUAGUGGUGAAAUGCGUAGAUAUCACUUGGAACGCCGACGGUGAAAACAGCUCGCUGGGUGUGUUCUGACGCUGAGGCACGAAAGCCAGGGGAGCGAACGGG
rnacentral:rRNA from 1 species